rnacentral:rRNA from 1 species
CAUUACAGAGUUCGUGCCCUUCGGGGUAGACCUCCCACCCUUUGUAUACAUACUAUUGUUGCUUCGGCGGCUCGCCGCAAGGCCCUCGGCUUCGGCUGGGGCGUGGCCGCCGGAGAACCAUAAACCCUGAAUUACAGUGUCGUCCGAGUACUAUAUAAUAGUUAAAACUUUCAACAACGGAUCUCUUGGUUCUGGCAUCGAUGAAGAACGCAGCGAAAUGCGAUAAGUAAUGUGAAUUGCAGAAUUCAGUGAAUCAUCGAAUCUUUGAACGCACAUUGCGCCCCUUGGUAUUCCGAGGGGCAUGCCUGUUCGAGCGUCAUUAUAACCCUCAAGCCUAGCUUGGUGUUGGGGCCUGCCGUCAGCGGCAGCCCUUAAAAUCAGUGGCGGUGCCAUCUGGCUCUAAGCGUAGUAAUUCUUCUCGCUAUAGUGCUCCGGUGGAUGCUUGCCAACAACCCCCAAUUUUUCUAUGGUUGACCUCGGAUCAGGUAGGGAUACCC